rnacentral:rRNA from 1 species
ACUGCGAGUGAAGCGGGAAGAGCUCAAAUUUAAAAUCUAAUAGUCUAUGACUGUUCGAGUUGUAAUCUAGAGAAGCACUAUCCGUGCUGGACCAUGUAUAAGUCUCCUGGAAUGGGGCGUCAUAGAGGGUGAGAAUCCCGUCUUUGACAUGGACUACCAGUGCAUUGUGAUGUGCUCUCAACGAGUCGAGUUGUUUGGGAAUGCAGCUCUAAAUGGGUGGUAAAUUCCAUCUAAAGCUAAAUAUUGGCGAGAGACCGAUAGCGAACAAGUACCGUGAGGGAAAGAUGAAAAGAACUUUGAAAAGAGAGUUAAACAGUACGUGAAAUUGUUGAAAGGGAAACGCUUAAAGUCAGUCACAUUGAUCAGGGAUCAACCUUGCUUUUGCUUGGUGUAUUUUCUGAUCAAUGGGUCAGCAUCAAUUUUAAUCAGUGGACAAAGGCUGAGGGAAUGUGGCAUCAUUUGAUGUGUUAUAGCCCUCUGUCAUAUACAUUGGUUGGGAUUGAGGAACUCAGCAUGCCGCAAGGCCGGGUUUUAACCACGUUCAUGCUUAGGAUGCUGGCAUAAUGGCUUUAAUCGACCCGUCUUGAAACACGG